rnacentral:rRNA from 1 species
AUUGAACGCUGGCGGCGUGCCUAACACAUGCAAGUCGAGCGGUAACAGGUGUAGCAAUACAUGCUGACGAGCGGCGGACGGGUGAGUAACGCUUGGGAAUCUGCCUGUUAGUGGGGGACAACCCGGGGAAACUCGGGCUAAUACCGCAUACGCACUACGGUGGAAAGCCGGGGACCGCAAGGCCUGGCGCUAACAGAUGAGCCCAAGUCGGAUUAGCUAGUUGGUAGGGUAACGGCCACCAAGGCGACGAUCCGUAACUGGUCUGAGAGGACGACCAGUCACACCGGAACUGAGACACGGUCCGGACUCCUACGGGGGGCAGCAGUGGGGAAUCUUGGACAAUGGGCGCAAGCCUGAUCCAGCCAUGCCGCGUGGGUGAAGAAGGCCU